GCAAUCUUAACAUCAUAUGCAGCUUGACAUCAUAUGCAAUUUAAAAAAAAAAAAUAAUAUCCUUCAAAUAUACUAUUUAAAAUGAUAUUUUAACAAUAACAAAUAAUAAAUGACUGCUUGCACACAUACACAUAUUCCAUUUGCAUUUACCUACAUCUAAACAUACGCAUAUGUUUAACCAAACAGGCAAUUUGGAUAUUAAUCACAUUUAUUUCUUACGUAGAACGUCUUUCAACUUGUUUAUCAUUAAUUGGCAUAAUCAGUUAGUAGAAAUUUUAUUAUUGGCGCUAAAAAGGAUUGGCCAGUUGAACUUUGGAAAUACACAAUGAACAAUAAAAAUACAGAUCUAUAUGUAAAAAAAAAUAUAUAAUGAGGGUUUUACUUUUAAAAGGACUUAGCGAUCCACGGGACCGAGGAUUUCAAACACAUCUGCUUCUGGCCGUUGGUUUACUAAAGUGUCAAGUUUUUAACGAAGCGACCAAACUCUUUUUCUUUGCCAAAUAUGCCAGGUAGAAAUGGGCGGAAUUUAGGCAAAGUAAAAAAUACGAAACUUUAAAAUUCAUAUCGAAAUAAGAGCUUGAAACUUCUGGUAUUUUUUUUUCUCACUUGAAUAUUCUUUAUUCUCAAAAUAUAGGAACAAAUUCCAAGACGUCUUUGCUAAACAAUUUUUCUUUCACAUUUUAAAGCUUUUUGUUAUGGUUGCUUCAUCUGUAAGUGGCGUGGCAAAAUAUGCGAGCAGUGGCUUUAAUUUAUAUACUCCUAAAAAUAAGCAAUAUUCCAAAUAUUUUGGUGCAGAUUUAUAUUAUAUAGAUAUUGGAUU